rnacentral:rRNA from 1 species
UAGGGGAUCUUCCACAAUGGACGAAAGUCUGGUGGAGCAACGCCGCGUGAGUGAAGAAGGGUUUCGGCUCGUAAAACUCUGUUGUUAAAGAAGAACAUAUCUGAGAGUAACUGUUCAGGUAUUGACGGUAUUUAACCAGAAAGCCACGGCUAACUGCGUGCCGG